GUGCUGCUUCAGUAGCCCAUUUACUAAAACUGGACGAUACAGAGAUGAACAUGACCCCUGCACAAAGAUACACGCAUAUUUGUAAAGCGCUCCAUAUUUUU
rnacentral:snRNA from 1 species